rnacentral:rRNA from 1 species
UUAAGCGACUAAGCGUACACGGUGGAUGCCCUGGCAGUCAGAGGCGAUGAAGGACGUGCUAAUCUGCGAUAAGCGUCGGUAAGGUGAUAUGAACCGUUAUAACCGGCGAUUUCCGAAUGGGGAAACCCAGUGUGAUUCGUCACACUAUCAUUAACUGAAUCCAUAGGUUAAUGAGGCGAACCGGGGGAACUGAAACAUCUAAGUACCCCGAGGAAAAGAAAUCAACCGAGAUUCCCCCAGUAGCGGCGAGCGAACGGGGAGCAGCCCAGAGCCUGAAUCAGUGUGUGUGUUAGUGGAAGCGUCUGGAAAGGCGCGCGAUACAGGGUGACAGCCCCGUACACAAAAAUGCACAUGCUGUGAGCUCGAUGAGUAGGGCGGGACACGUGGUAUCCUGUCUGAAUAUGGGGGGACCAUCCUCCAAGGCUAAAUACUCCUGACUGACCGAUAGUGAACCAGUACCGUGAGGGAAAGGCGAAAAGAACCCCGGCGAGGGGAGUGAAAAAGAACCUGAAACCGUGUACGUACAAGCAGUGGGAGCACAGAGCAAUCUGUGUGACUGCGUACCUUUUGUAUAAUGGGUCAGCGACUUAUAUUCUGUAGCAAGGUUAACCGAAUAGGGGAGCCGAAGGGAAACCGAGUCUUAACUGGGCGUUAAGUUGCAGGGUAUAGACCCGAAACCCGGUGAUCUAGCCAUGGGCAGGUUGAAGGUUGGGUAACACUAACUGGAGGACCGAACCGACUAAUGUUGAAAAAUUAGCGGAUGACUUGUGGCUGGGGGUGAAAGGCCAAUCAAACCGGGAGAUAGCUGGUUCUCCCCGAAAGCUAUUUAGGUAGCGCCUCGUGAAUUCAUCUCCGGGGGUAGAGCACUGUUUCGGCAAGGGGGUCAUCCCGACUUACCAACCCGAUGCAAACUGCGAAUACCGGAGAAUGUUAUCACGGGAGACACACGGCGGGUGCUAACGUCCGUCGUGAAGAGGGAAACAACCCAGACCGCCAGCUAAGGUCCCAAAGUCAUGGUUAAGUGGGAAACGAUGUGGGAAGGCCCAGACAGCCAGGAUGUUGGCUUAGAAGCAGCCAUCAUUUAAAGAAAGCGUAAUAGCUCACUGGUCGAGUCGGCCUGCGCGGAAGAUGUAACGGGGCUAAACCAUGCACCGAAGCUGCGGCAGCGACGCUUAGGCGUUGUUGGGUAGGGGAGCGUUCUGUAAGCCUGCGAAGGUGUACUGUGAGGUAUGCUGGAGGUAUCAGAAGUGCGAAUGCUGACAUAAGUAACGAUAAAGCGGGUGAAAAGCCCGCUCGCCGGAAGACCAAGGGUUCCUGUCCAACGUUAAUCGGGGCAGGGUGAGUCGACCCCUAAGGCGAGGCCGAAAGGCGUAGUCGAUGGGAAACAGGUUAAUAUUCCUGUACUUGGUGUUACUGCGAAGGGGGGACGGAGAAGGCUAUGUUGGCCGGGCGACGGUUGUCCCGGUUUAAGCGUGUAGGCUGGUUUUCCAGGCAAAUCCGGAAAAUCAAGGCUGAGGCGUGAUGACGAGGCACUACGGUGCUGAAGCAACAAAUGCCCUGCUUCCAGGAAAAGCCUCUAAGCAUCAGGUAACAUCAAAUCGUACCCCAAACCGACACAGGUGGUCAGGUAGAGAAUACCAAGGCGCUUGAGAGAACUCGGGUGAAGGAACUAGGCAAAAUGGUGCCGUAACUUCGGGAGAAGGCACGCUGAUAUGUAGGUGAAGCGACUUGCUCGUGGAGCUGAAAUCAGUCGAAGAUACCAGCUGGCUGCAACUGUUUAUUAAAAACACAGCACUGUGCAAACACGAAAGUGGACGUAUACGGUGUGACGCCUGCCCGGUGCCGGAAGGUUAAUUGAUGGGGUCAGCGCAAGCGAAGCUCUUGAUCGAAGCCCCGGUAAACGGCGGCCGUAACUAUAACGGUCCUAAGGUAGCGAAAUUCCUUGUCGGGUAAGUUCCGACCUGCACGAAUGGCGUAAUGAUGGCCAGGCUGUCUCCACCCGAGACUCAGUGAAAUUGAACUCGCUGUGAAGAUGCAGUGUACCCGCGGCAAGACGGAAAGACCCCGUGAACCUUUACUAUAGCUUGACACUGAACAUUGAGCCUUGAUGUGUAGGAUAGGUGGGAGGCUUUGAAGUGUGGACGCCAGUCUGCAUGGAGCCGACCUUGAAAUACCACCCUUUAAUGUUUGAUGUUCUAACGUUGACCCGUAAUCCGGGUUGCGGACAGUGUCUGGUGGGUAGUUUGACUGGGGCGGUCUCCUCCUAAAGAGUAACGGAGGAGCACGAAGGUUGGCUAAUCCUGGUCGGACAUCAGGAGGUUAGUGCAAUGGCAUAAGCCAGCUUGACUGCGAGCGUGACGGCGCGAGCAGGUGCGAAAGCAGGUCAUAGUGAUCCGGUGGUUCUGAAUGGAAGGGCCAUCGCUCAACGGAUAAAAGGUACUCCGGGGAUAACAGGCUGAUACCGCCCAAGAGUUCAUAUCGACGGCGGUGUUUGGCACCUCGAUGUCGGCUCAUCACAUCCUGGGGCUGAAGUAGGUCCCAAGGGUAUGGCUGUUCGCCAUUUAAAGUGGUACGCGAGCUGGGUUUAGAACGUCGUGAGACAGUUCGGUCCCUAUCUGCCGUGGGCGCUGGAGAACUGAGGGGGGCUGCUCCUAGUACGAGAGGACCGGAGUGGACGCAUCACUGGUGUUCGGGUUGUCAUGCCAAUGGCACUGCCCGGUAGCUAAAUGCGGAAGAGAUAAGUGCUGAAAGCAUCUAAGCACGAAACUUGCCCCGAGAUGAGUUCUCCCUGACUCCUUGAGAGUCCUGAAGGAACGUUGAAGACGACGACGUUGAUAGGCCGGGUGUGUAAGCGCAGCGAUGCGUUGAGCUAACCGGUACUAAUGAACCGUGAGGCUUAACCUU